rnacentral:misc_RNA from 1 species
UUGCCAUCAACCCCCUGUUGUG